rnacentral:rRNA from 1 species
UACAGAGGUCCCAAGCGUUGUUCGGAUUCACUGGGCGUAAAGGGUGCGUAGGUGGCCGGGUCAGUCUGAUGUGAAAUCUCCGAGCUUAACUCGGAAAUGGCAUUGGAUACUGCUUGGCUUGAGGGUUGGAGGGGGGACUGGAAUACUUGGUGUAGCAGUGAAAUGCGUAGAUAUCAAGUGGAACACCAGUGGCGAAGGCGAGUCCCUGGACAACUCCUGACACUGAGGCACGAAAGCUAGGGGAGCAAACAGG